rnacentral:tRNA from 1 species
UGCGGUAUAGCUCAAUUGGCAGAGCGCCUGACUUUGACUCAGGAUUAUUAUAGGUUCAAGUCCUAUUGCCGCAG